AGGUAGAUUCGCCCGUUGGACCUCAGACACAUUUCCAGAAAAAGGACUAUAACCCCUUUCAAAGUAAAUCUACAGGUAGAUUCACCCGUUGGACCUCAGACACCCUUUCAGAAAAAAAGACUAUAACCCUUUUCAAAGCAAAUUACCCACCAGGAGCUGACAGCAGGAGGCCUGCGACACACCUUUAUACCUGAACUUGCACUACUAUCUUCCAAAUUCCAACAUAUACAGCUG